AAUGGACGUUGGCGGCGUGGAUUAGGCAUGCAAGUCGAGCGAUAAGCUUUUGAUUGAUCUUUCGAGUGAAGUCAGAGGUGGACAGCGGCGCAAGGGAGAGUAACGCGUAGAUCACGUACCCUGGGGUUUGGGAUAGCGGGGAGAAAUCGCCGGUAAUACCAAAUAAUGUUUCCGAACCAAAGAUUUAUUGCCCUGGGAGCGGUCUGCGUCCUAUUAGUUUGUUGGUGGGGUAAAAGCCUACCAAGGCUAAGAUGGGUAGCGGGUGUGAGAGCAUGGCCCGUCUCACUGGGACUGAGACACUGCCCAGACGUCUACGGACGGCUGCAGUCGAGAAUCUUCCGCAAUGGGCGAAAGCCUGACGGAGCGACGCCGCGUGCGGGAUGAAGGCCUUCGGGUUGUAAACCGCUGUCAGAGGGGAGCAAAUUUUGAGCGAUCCUCAAAGGAAGCACAGGCUAAGUUCGUGCCAGCAGCCGCGGUAAUACGAACUGUGCGAACGUUAUUCGGAAUCACUGGGCUUAAAGGGUGCGUAGGCGGCGAUGAAGGUCAGAUGUGAAAUCCCACGGCUCAACCGUGGAACUGCGUUUGAAACCGUAUCGCUUGAGGAAGUCAGAGGUAAGCGGAACUGAUGGUGGAGCGGUGAAAUGCGUUGAUAUUAUCAGGAACACCGGUGGCGAAGGCGGCUUACUGGGUCUUUUCUGACGCUGAGGCACGAAAGCUAGGGGAGCGAACGGGAUUAGAUACCCCGGUAGUCCUAGCUGUAAACGAUCUGUACUAGUCCGUGGAGACUUCCACAUCUUCUCGGACGUAGCGAAAGUGUUAAGUACAGCGCCUGGGGAGUAUGGUCGCAAGGCUGAAACUCAAAGGAAUUGACGGGGGCUCACACAAGCGGUGGAGGAUGUGGCUUAAUUCGAGGCUACGCGAAGAACCUUACCUAGACUUAACGUGCUUGGGAAUCUCUAUGAAAGUAGAGAGUGCCUUUCGGGGAGCCCUUGCGUAGGUGCUGCAUGGCUGUCGUCAGCUCGUGUCGUGAGAUGUCGGGUUAAGUCCCUUAACGAGCGAAACCCUUGUCCCUAGUUGCCAGCGAGUCAUGUCGGGGACUCUAGUGAGACUGCGGUGUUAAACCGGAGGAAGGUGGGGAUGACGUCAAGUCCUCAUGGCCUUUAUGAUCAGGGCUGCACACGUCCUACAAUGCGGCGUACAAAGGGAUGCGAACUCGCGAGAGCAGC
rnacentral:rRNA from 1 species